UAACGCUUUUAAAAGAUUUGC
rnacentral:piRNA from 1 species